rnacentral:rRNA from 1 species
UACGGAGGGUGCAAGCGUUAUCCGGAUUUACUGGGCUUAAAGGGUGCGCAGGCGGAUAUGUAAGUCAGGGGUGAAAUCUCUGGGCUUAACUCGGAAAUUGCCAUUGAUACUAUAUAUCUUGAAUGCUGUGGAGGUAAGCGGAAUAUGUCAUGUAGCGGUGAAAUGCUUAGAGAUGACAUAGAACACCUAUUGCGAAGGCAGCUUACUGGGCAGAUAUUGACGCUCAUGCACGAAAGCGUGGGGAUCAAACAGG